GAGAAUAUUGCACAAUGGGGGAAACCCUGAUGCAGCAACGCCGCGUGAGUGAAGAAGUAUUUCGGUAUGUAAAGCUCUAGCCGCAGGGAAGAAUAUGACGGUACCUGAGUAAGAAGCCCCGGCUAACUACGUGCCAGCAGCCGCGGUCAUACGCAGGGGGCAAGCGUUAUCCGGAUUUACUGGGUGUAAAGGGAGCGUAGACGGUGAGACAAGUCUGAAGUGAAAGCCCGGGGCUCAACCCCGGGACUGCUUUGGAAACUGCCUGACUGGAGUGCUGGAGAGGCAAGCGGAAUUCCUAGUGUAGCGGUGAAAUGCGUAGAUAUUAGGAAGAACACCAGUGGCGAAGGCGGCUUGCUGGACAGUAACUGACGUUGAGGCUCGAAAGCGUGGGGAGCAAAC
rnacentral:rRNA from 1 species